UUACGGCCAUAUCACAUUGUAAACCGGUUCUCAUACGAUCACUGACGUUAAGCAAUGUCGACCCUGGUAAGUAUCUAGUUAGGUGACCGCUUGUGAAUAACAGGUGUU